rnacentral:rRNA from 1 species
AACGAACGCUGGCGGCAGGCCUAACACAUGCAAGUCGAGCGAACCGCAAGGUUAGCGGCGGACGGGUUAGUAACGCGUGGGAACGUGCCCAAAGGUGCGGAAUAGCCUCGGGAAACUGAGAGUAAUACCGUAUGUGCCCGAAAGGGGAAAGAGUUAUCGCCUUUGGAUCGGCACGCGUUGGAUUAGGUAGUUGGUGGGGUAACGGCCUACCAAGCCGACGAUCCAUAGAUGGUAUGAGAGGAUUAUCAGAAACACUGGGACUGAGACACGGCCCAGACGCCUACGGGAGGCAGCAGUGGUGGAUCUUGGACAGUGGGGGAAACCUUGAUCUAGCCAUGCCGCGUAAGCGAUGAAGGCCUUAGGGUUGUAAAGCUCUUUCACCGGGUAAGAUAAUGACGGUACCCGGAGAAGAAGCCCCGGCUAACUCCGUGCCAGCCGCCGCAGUAACAC